rnacentral:rRNA from 1 species
UACAGAGGUCUCAAACGUUGUUCGGAUUCAUUGGGCGUAAAGGGUGCGUAGGUGGCGCGCUAAGUCAGGUGUGAAAUUUCGGAGCUUAACUCCGAAACUGCAUUUGAUACUGGCGUGCUUGAGGACUGGAGAGGAGACUGGAAUUCAUGGUGUAGCAGUGAAAUGCGUAGAGAUCAUGAGGAAGACCAGUGGCGAAGGCGGGUCUCUGGACAGUUCCUGACACUGAGGCACGAAGGCCAGGGGAGCAAACGGG